rnacentral:RNase_P_RNA from 1 species
UGAGUAGGUCGGAUGGUCGCGGACGCAAUGCCUAAAGGCUGCGUACGAGGAAAGUCCGGGCUCCAUAGGGCAAAGGUGCCGGGUAACACCCGGUGAAGGCGACUUCAAGGAUAGUGCAACAGAAAUAAACCGCCAUGCUUCAGGUUGGAGAUGAAAGGUCUUUCUUUUCACCUCCGACCCGGGCAUGGUAAGGAUGGAAAGGUGAGGUAAGAGCUCACCGACCCUACGGCGACGAUGGGUGCUAUGUAAACCCCACCUGGAGCAACACCGUGACAAGGAACGAUAAGGCUGCCCGUCUGUUCCUUAGAGGUGGCUAAAGCCUUGUAGUAAUACAAGGCAUAGACAGAUGAUCAUUCAAGACAGAACCCGGCUUACAGAUCUGCUCAUUUU